GACGAGUCAGCCCCUGAGCGCCAUUAGCAUACGGCUGGGGGGUUGCUGGAGCUUCGCCCCUCGGUGAGGUCAAGUUCUUGAUAAUUUGAUCACUUUUCACCGGCUCUGGCAGCUGCCUUUGUGUGCAGUUGGGGGGUCUGUGUGCAGCGUGAAGCGGAGCAGAACUGGCGGGGAGUGUGCUCAAUGGCAAGGGGCCUAGGCGGGGGCCUCCCGCCCCGACCGACCAGCCCUGCCCUGCAUACAAACCAAGAGCAGGCUGGUGGGCGGGAGAGACCUAACCUCUACGACUGCCCCGGUGCGACGACUUGAGCCGGCGUCUCCCCAACUUCCCCAACUGGUUAAGGGGCAGCCAGGCUCUCUGGAGCUCUUCUCCUUCCCGCCCCAAUAAGUGGCAACAUAAGAUGUAUUACAAUGUCUAGCAAAUAAAAAAGCAAUUGGGGAAAAUCUGAAUUCCGUUCCCAUGGCAACCUAAUGCUGCACACCGGCCACUCAAGCUCCAGGUCCCUCUUAGCUGGGCGCAGCGAGUGGGGCGUGCCACUGCUCAGUGUAUGAGGUUCUUAGCCCCACGUAGCGCCGAAGAUCCCCCUUCGGGGUUUAUCUGCCUUCCAGGCCAUUCUCCUCCUUGACACUCCCUUCACCCUCUUUCCUUAUCUUGAAGUUUGGGGCCCCUGCAACUUGGGAAACCGUUGACCGCCCCCACCCCCAGUGGAUCUAGAUCCAGCUAUGGGCCCUGAUGAGAUGCAGAGAAGAAAGGAUCCAAAAAGUCAGUCCCUUCACGUUCCUUGAAGGGCUUGCAGUUGUUUUUGCGGGAAUAUCGAUGUGUGAGUGCCUUACCAGAUUGACUGGGAAGGACUGGAGCCACCAUCCUGACUUGACCCGUUUUCAUUUCCUUGAACAAAUAAGGAAGCAGAUGGGGCGGGGAGACAGACUCCUCCAGGGUCACACGGCUCAGAGGUGGCAGAGGUGGGCCUUACCUAUAUAUCGCUUUACCUCCAUCUUGGCCCAGUUCAAUCCCAGGAGCCUCUGCCUUAGUUUUUUUUUUUUUUUAUAAGGUUGUCCUCUCAGCCCCCUUGUAAGAAUGGAAAUAUUUUUCCAUAUUCGCACCUACAAGUCGCUUUUUCUUUGCUUAGCAAAAAAUAUUUUAACAAACAAAAAGAAAAGGCUACGUGUGUAAAAGUCAGACAUUCAAGAGGUUACAAUAGGGAGACCCCUUGGCUCUGGAGAGGGCAAGGUGUGGCUGAGGCAGGUGGAGACUUUGCGCUGUGUUGCCAUUUGAAUUUUAGCUGCUGGUCCAAAUUAAGAGCAGGCAGGCAAUGGCAGGAAAGCAACUAUCUCUGCUUCCUCCUCCUCAGAGAUGAUCACUGGGUGGAAGAAGGGUUUCCAUGAUCCUGUUACAAUGCCUUCCUUUUUGAAAGCCCAGUCUCUCUCUACCUGGGAAGGGUCACUCACUGGCUUGGUACCCCAGGAGCACCCCCACCCCAGCAUCUCCUGGGCCUGCCCUCCCUUCCCAGUGCACUUGGGAGCCUGUGUGCUGCUGGUGACCUCAUUUCAGACGAAACCAGAGCAGCUCUCCCAGCCUGCUAGCCCAGCACUCCCUGCCUCCACACCUCACAGCUGAACUGGGCUUCUGUGGACCCUGCCUCACCCUCACUGCUUACAUCCUUCUUCCCACCAUCCCUGCUCCUUUGCUAUUUUGGAAGAACUGGUCCCUCCAUAAGGCAAAAUGGCUUUAGAACAUCUCAGCUGUGCCUGCGCAGUUCAAAUGUGUGUUGCUUUGAAACACCAGCUUCCCUUGCUGUCAGGGGCAGACCUGAACCUCCGUCAGGACUGCGGUGGAGGGGGAGUCCGAGCCUGAGGAAGUGCAGGACUUUUUCUGCUUGCUUUGUACCAAGGGGAAAUCUGCUGAUACAAAACUUUGCACCUAAGGGAAAGGAUGAGGGAGGUAGUGGUGGCGCUUGAUGGAAUGCCAUACUGAUUCUGAUUCAGACUUUAUCCUCGCACCCAUUAGAAAAGGCUUUAAGGCGUGCCAACCCACCCAUUUCAUCCUAACAGAGACAUGUUCAAAUCCUACCCCGGACACUUGGAGCCCAAGAUACAGGCUCAGAAUUAUGUUCCUUAUCAACCCCCCUAGCUAGUUUAGGCCUGGAGGAGCCAGCAAGGCCUGGGGCCUUCUCAGCCUUUGCUUCCCACCCCAUCCCCUUCCCAUCUGUUCUCCAGGUCUCCUCUGGUCUGGCUGCCCAAGUAACAGUGGGCUACACUGUUCCAGUUUCCACUAACUAGUCUCUUUCCAAAGAAAAGGCUUGUGGGCCCCGAAAACACGGCUGAAAGUAGAGUUGGAAGCCAGAAUUGGUUGGGAUCUCAAAGAUGUCAACCCCUUUCAUUUUACAACUAGAAACACCACGGAACCUUUGGCAGAAGGUCGCACGGAGGCCACUUGGCAGGGCAGGGUUGCAGGCAGCCCUCGUUGAUCACGAGGCUUCGAGAACAACUUCCUGGUCCACGGAAUUUCAACCCUGAACCAUACCAGCCUCAUAUAGGCCUCGGCCCGACCAAUGAAAAGCUGGCAUCAGCAGGCAUCACCGAAACGCAGGCUGCUGUGAGGCCAGGAGCCCGGCUCUGGACUGGUCCAGGAGUUCUCGACCGCAGUCGGACCUCCCGGGAAAUGGGAACAGAGCACGAAGCAGCGGGGCCAGGAGGCCUCCCAGGACCCAGCGCGACGCUGAAAAGCAUGAAGGGUCGGAAUUAGGCCCUCAUUUAGCGAGCGUUACUAAUCCGAAGUUACAGCGCUAAUUCCCUGAUCCCGCCGCUCCCACACGCAGCGCCGGGAUUAGAGGCGAGGCCGCCGCCGCCCCGCCCUCGCCCCCAACGCGCAGCCCCGCGCCCCGGGGUCCGCGGAUCCCGCUAAGCCACCUGACUGCGCCUGGCAGGCCAGAGUGUGCAGAUCGGCCUGCGGGGAGCGCUCAUCCGUGAGCCCCAGGACAUCCUUACAGGGAUUGAUGCGCCCUCCAAAACCCCUGAGGAGCGGUGCGGCCCGCCGGGCCCUCUCCCACCUGGGUGUCCGCACCCAGAGGAGCGGCCCUUUGGAGGCUGCGGCGCCAUUUUAAUAUCCUUCUCUUCCACCCUUGGCUUCUCACGCGCGUGGGGUGGGGUGUCCUUGUCCCCUAUUCCACCCAGACUGGAGCCCACCCUACCUUCCUCUACCCUGGUUUAUAUGACCAAUCAGCUCUGGCCUAGGGUGGGAUGCGCGUUACCAUGGCGACAGCCAGAGCCCCCUAGUAGUGUUACCCACCACAGAGGGUGAGUCUUCAUUCCACCUGGAAGGGGGUAAAAGGAAAAUUGGGGACAAGCGAGAGGUAGGGGCCUGAAGAAAGACUGUGGCACUUUAUCCUCUCACUCCUUCUUAGACCCCAUGGAGAUGUGGGCAAUGUGGACCCCAUCUUGGUAGAUAGCUGGGCUUGUCCCUGCUUUUUAUUUUUUAAGUCAGUUUUCCAGUGAGCUCUCCAUAAUCUUUCUCAUCUUGGUCUGAAGGUCCCUCUUUCUUCCUAAGAGAGUAUUCGGGAGUUCCCAAAAGCUUUCCCUAAACUGCCUGUGAUUUCAGGCGAGUCAGUUUUCUCAUCCAGAAGAUGGGGUGUUUGUUCAGGUGCAGCCAAGAAAAACAAGUUUAUAGUGGGAGCUCUAUCGUGGUUAAUGCCUUCGAGGACAGGGCUUGGGGUAAGACUCAAAAGCUGUAUUGACCUUUCUAUCUAGGGAAGCCAAAUUUAGGUGUCUCAGGGAUUCCUAGAGUUAGCUUUUGAUUUCUCCUCCAGACAGCUGGAAAGUGAAGAGAAGGGAGGGUCGUUAGCAGUAGAACCAGGGUGGGGGCUGUGGCUGGAACAAAACCUUGGUCAGUGGCUCUGAGAAUGGGCGGCUGCAGCUAUAGCGCUGGCUUCUUCCUUCCAGCCCGGUCCGGCUUAAGCACCACUUUAAGUGGUCCCGGCAUUCACUGGCCAGCCCCUCACCGCAAUUGAGCCGCAGGGGUUUGAAAAGAGGGCCAGGGCCUCAAUGACAGGACCUUGGGCCAGGCUAAUUGGUUUUGGUUCAAGGGGAUACUAGAUUUGUGAAAAGCUCCAAACCGCCUUUCCCACGCCAAAGCCAGGUCACAGCAUCACCGAGAAAGGUUGGAAGAGAUUGGGGCCAGAGGAGAAGUCUUGGAGCCAGGUCCUCUUGCACUAUCCGAAACAGCCCUCUGCUUGAAGAAUAGGGGGUUGUGAGGGGCCUCAGCAGCACCUGUGUUUAGGGACAAGCCUGGUCGUGGAGAUAGUCACCCAGCACUCCUGGGCUGUGCCAAGAAAACGGUCUCCCACCUCUUACCCUUUGGCUAACCCUCCUUGUGAAGAGGUCCCACUUUCCCCGCUGGGGUCAUUCAGAAAACAAACAAACAAACAAACAGAAAUGGUGGUGUUAAUAGUUCUCAUCCCAAGGGCUAGACCAAACCUGGCCUUUGUCCUGAGACUGUACUACAGUUGGUCUCAAGAAGACCCACCUGUCCCUGGAUAUGUCUCUAAACUAUCUUGAGCACUGACAGACAUUUCAGAAACAAGAAACAGGAAGUCCUCAGUACUUGAAAAAAGUAAUAAUAAAAGUGGUGAUCCAAAGGUUUCUUUACAGUCUCAAAAACCAAGCAUUUAUUGUGAUAUGCCUUAAAUCUAGUAUGACUGCACAAAGUGUCUUUGUAAAUGCUUUACAGUGUGUAUCUCAAUACCUAUGUGUUUGCCCCAAAUGAUAUAUAACAUACCCAUUCUUAAGUGCACAUAUGCACACAUUCUGUUGAUAUGUAGGAUUCUACACUUAUAUUAACAGUCAUGGGAGUGUGCUAUAAGAGUCAGCUUUACUGGAUUUUUUCCUUAAUACUAUGGAUGCUAUAGAGUGCUCCACCACAGAGCUACAUCCCUCCUCAGGCCCUAUUUAAAGUGACAGUGCAUCCACAAAGACCUGUGUGUGACCCAUUGUGUCUAUGGAACAUUCCAAUGGGAUCAGGAGCUGAAGAAACUGCCUCCCCCAGUCUUCCAAAUUUUGCCCUGUGUUUGCCCAUAUGAAGCAUAUGAUCAGUAGGGAAAAGGUACUUGGGAGAGAUAGAGAACUCGAUGUAUUCCAGUUUCUAUUUUUAUUUCUAUUUUUAAUUGCCCAGAGCCUAAUUUCUCUGGGCCUCUGUUGAUUUGCACAUUGGAGAUUCAUGUGUAAAUAUGCAUGUGGCAUGUAUGCACGCCUGGGCCUUCUUAUCACCAAGUGUGCGUUCUCGGUGUUUAAAUACACACAAUCCACACCGAGGCAUGAUUAUGGGCUUACUAUUUGCCUCUUCUCUAGAAUCGGGUUAAUUUUCCCUUGGCUAAUCCUCAAACCCAUUAAGUUCUCCUCUCCCCACCCCCACACAAAAAAAAAUUGCAAACCCUACUACAGACCAGUGGGCUCGCCCUGCUUCUCCAGCAGGCAGCUCUCCAGGCAGGGUGCUGGAGUGAAGGUCCCUAUUAGGCAGACUUCAUUAAUGUUACCAAAUAUACCCAGGCACAUUUACUCGUCUACUAUGAAGUAUUAUCAUAAAUAAUUAAAAUUAAACUGCACUUGUCAAAAUAAAUGAACAAAGUAGAGUUAGUGAUGUCUUUGCUUUGAUUUGCUUGCUAGGGGUUUGCUUAUUCACUAAUUUGAAGAAAAGAAGAAAGGGAAGGAGGAAAGAAAGAACAGAACAGACUGCCGUGGGAAGGGCAGAGCCGUGGAGGGAGGAGAGGAAAACCCCUCAGUCAUCUGCCAUUGGGUUUCCAGUCAUUAGGGCACUCUGGGAGGCUGGAAUGCAGCCUCAGACGUCAGCUCAUAAUGAAUAUUGAGGUGUGGAUGUGGAAGGGGGGACUUCUUUGUUUACUGAGGAAUGGCCAUGGGAAUGGGGGAGAGGAUUGCCUUUGGGGAUUAAGGAGUGGGCUUUGUUUUUAUGAAGGGCCUUACUUCUUUUCUGAAGUUUUCUGCAGCUAAUUGAUUCAAUUCAGACAUUCCUUCUCCCCACUCGGCCAGCCAAGGCCUCGUGUUUGUGAUGUGCACAGCCCUGUUUCCCCAUCUGCUCUGGCCCCUUUCUCCACGGUGACCCCUGAAAAGGGGUGUGAACCUGCACAUCAACCAGAAAGAAGCACACACACACACACACACACACACACACACACACACACACACACAUUCCUAAAGGCAUUAUUUUCAUCUGAAAAUGGAUUAUAGGUGUACAAUUCUAUGAGUUCUGACAAAUUUACACCCAAGAUAGCAGUUCCCCCCUUCCAGAAACUUCUCUCUUGUUUCUUCCCAGUCUGCCUGCUCCCCUCUCCCCAACCACCCUUUGAGGUCUCUGUCAGUUUUACCUAAAUGGAAUGUAAGCCAGCACUUUUAAAGAGGAAUUCAUUUCAAGUCCGGAGAGAGCACACUGUCCUUGGAGGCCUGGCUGAACAUGUGCCCACGAAUAUGGAACUUACGUCAAGCAUUCUUCCCCUCAGAUGGACCCAGAAGUCAAACCUGUAAUUAGAUGGGGGUGGGGGCUGGUUUGGGCUGGUCCUUCCAUAGGACAGCCCUAUUCUCACCCUAGGUCUGUUAAUGAGCUGGGGACAGGUGAGCCUCACACAUUCCAACUUGACUGCCUCCAGCGGCAUCCAGGAGCUGCUGGUGAGCUAUUAAUGGAAGGUGCGGGCUUUGUGCUAAUUAGACCGCCUCAGCUUCCAUCUGUGCAGGCACUGGAGCCCCUCACUGGCCAGCCUCACCACCCCCACCCCAGCAUACAGCCUAGUUCUGUUACCCCCAUGAAUUAGGGGGUACAGUGAGCAGAACUGCUUCUGGCUGGCUUAGGUCAAAUCCCUAGUCUUUGUGUGUUUCUGAAAUGUACAGGGUGGUGGCGUUUCUCAGCCCUUCUCCCCCUUGUUAGGGUAUAGUUGGAUCUCAGCAAAAGUUGGAUGGAAGUUUGGGACCCAUGGCCACCCUCCAGGGUGGGUCAGUGUUGCAGGUCUGUCUGGGAUUGUUUUGUAAAGGGCUUCUCUUGUCUGCCUCCUGUCCCUUGCUAUUACUCCCCUUAGUCUGCACCUAUCUAGUCUGGUCACUCCCACCCACCUCACCUCACCCUUCAACUGCCCAAUCUUUGCUGCCUCAGCCAGCCUAAGCUGAGAGCCAUAGCCCUUAUCUGAAAACAACUAUUAAAAAAAAACCUUUAAAAUGUAUUUAUUUCACUUCAGGCCUCAUGGAUUUAAUUUUUGCCUCUUAUAAACGUUUCAUUGAAAAAAAAAAAACAUGUCAUGUCAUUUAAAGAAAAAGCAGCUCUCAGAAUAGGAGAGCUCCUUGUCUAAGAUGAAGGAAAAAGAGGGGCACUUCUGAGAAUGUUCUUUUUUUUCUUUUCUUUUUUUAGCUCCUAUAAUCCCUCAGGGUGUGUGCAAAAAUAUCAAGCCCUUAUAUCAAUGUAUCUCUUAUUAUUCUGGUUGGGUUUUCCUGCUAAUAAUACCGUUGUCAACGGUGAGAGGAUUAUUGGCCACGGUGGAACUUCUCCAGGUUCCCUCAAGAGUUUGGACCUGUACUGGAGGAUGAAGCCUGGAAGGGCUGCAGAAAUCCCCUGCUUAUGGGUAAGGCCACUGCCCCAGGACCCUGAGGCUUCGAAUGAACCGGACACCCUUCUAGGAGUCGGUGGCAGGCGCCCGACGUCUCCCGUCUGUGUUACAGUGGCUCACCGGCAGUUGCUCCAGCUUCCCGCCCGUCUUACCUGAGCUCUGCGGCUCCUGCGCUGGCACCUAUUGCCUCUCUGCGCGAAGGAGUACAUGCCACGGCCACGGGAGAGGUGAGUGGCUGUAGCCAGGGAAGGAGGACACAGCAGUGUCCCCAAAACGGGUGGGCGACCAGGAACGUUGGAGGAAGAUUCCAGGAUCCCGCUGGUAAGGCGACUGCCUUUCUACCCGAGUCCCCUGGAAGGCGAUCCCCCUUCCUCUCGAGGCCAGAGUUCAAAGUCACCGUGCCCUCACACGUCCCCAAGUGGGCGACGGCUUUAAAAAUACACCUGCUAGCUCGUGCUCUGCAACGCGGUCCCGCCGAGCUGGUCGCGGAGCGCUUGCAAGCUGAGCGCACCGGGAUGCUGGAAGGAUUCUGGCCUCCGAGGUGGUUUCUUAGACCCGUCCAGCGGAAGCCACAGUCGCGGGCGGUGGCCAACCUCGGCUGGGAAAAGGCGCAGCCGCUUCUCCUCCGCCCGCGGGGUCAGGCUAGGCGCACAGCGGGGGUCCAGGGCCUGGUCCGGUGCGCUCACCAGCGGCGCCGACAGGGACGGGGAUCCCCGGCCGGCCUCACACCUCGAGUCCCAGGUCUUCCCCGGGCCUACAAAGUAGGCGACGUCCGGCGAGGAAGACCCCGGAGCGCGGCCUGCGCCGGCACACCCGACGCCGGGUGCCGCCGGGAGGAGAAGCCGAGGAAGGGCCGCGUCCCCUCGGCCUGCACCGAGGCUCCGGAGGGACCGCGCCGCGGGUCCGGGAGGCCAUUUUGAGAGCGAGCAAGCGGCGGCAAGAUGGCUGCGUGGGCACGAGGACAGUUCCAGGGUCAGAAGAAGGGAAAAGAAGAAAGACGGCUUGGUGACAACUAAAGAGGUGUCUCCCUUCCAACACACGCCGCGGGCCCUAUGUACGUCCACAGCUCUCGCCAGCAGCUGUCCCCUCUCUGGACGGUGGUGCAGACGGAUGGUGCAGAUGGAAGGAGGAGAAAAUGAAAUGUUGCCUGAAGACAAUGGCCGAGACAGCCCGUCCCACCCUGCACAGCCGCCAGCGCCUCCUUCCCCAGCCUUGACUCCUCUGUCGCGAGUCUGCACAUUACCCUGCUAACCCUGAGGGUCUGAGGUGGCCUAGUAAAAAAAACAAGGUCACGAGAAGAUCCACUCAGAAGUCGGAGGGUCCUCGGUCCUCCAGCCCACUGUCCUGCUUAGGACACAAAGCAAGCUUCUUCCCUCUCCGGACCUGGAAAAGGAACACUGGAUACAACGGUGUCUGCAGCCACUUAGCCCCUACAUUUUAUAAUUUGGGAAUUUUUUUUUUCUGCUUUGUUACCUACAAGUCAGCCUACCUCUCUUCCUGACUUUCAGAAAAGUCAGCUUUUUCUCCUUCAAGCUGUCCUGGGACACAGGUCGAUUCCUCUACCUAAAGCCUAAGAAGAAACAACCAACCAAAGAAAGAGAAAACCCAGAAGCUUGUCUCAUUUCUGACCUUUGACAUUGGACUGGAAAGUGGCCUGGGCCAGACAGUAUGUUUUGGCUAGGUGUGUUUCCAGCCUGAGUCUGGAUGCUCUGUCUUCGCCUCUGGUUCCAAAUGUUCUGAACAGCGCCCCCCGUGGUUUUAGGGAGGUUUGUCAUAUAUUUGGGGCCUUUCCUGGGCCAGAGCCCCUUAGAUUCUAUGAAGGCGCCACUUUUUCUUGAUGUCUGGUGGCUCCUCUCUAGGCACAGCUGAAAUGAGUCUGGCUGUGAAGUCUAGAAGGCGUGAAACCAAUAUCCCCAUAUGGCCAGGGUGACCCUGGGCCAGUGCAUAGCUUCCCUGAGCACUGUUUCCACGUUUAUAAAAUGGGAAGGGGGUAGAGAGGGGAGGGGAUAUGCCUCAGUGGUGGAGAGCUUUCCAAGCAUUCUCAAGACGUUGGGAUGUAUCCUUAGACUCAAAAUAUAACAAUAAUAGUAGUCAUGCCUUUCACAUACAUUACUUACAUUAUACAAUACAUUACAUAUAUUAAUAAGUCCUUCUCCAACUUCAGGACUUCCCUUCUGGGAAGGUCCUGAGAUGGCCUUCAGUUUUCCCCUUCAGAGCCCUCAUAAUACCUGAAUGGAAUUCAGAGGGCAUCUGCCUCCCUGAGCGCCUCCUGCUCACAGACUAUUCCUCUUGUCUUUAGAGUGUCCUGCGAAAGGAAGUGAUGGGUCAGGCUCUGUUCAGCUUUUCUGGAAAGAGAGAAGUGGCAACUCCUGCUAGGGUCACAGGAUGAAUACAGAGCCAAGCUGCUUCAGGAACAGAAGGAUAGAGCAGGAAAGAAAAUGCAAUGUCACCACCCUGAGGCCCCUGUACAGGGUGCAACCCAGCCACCAGGGACUCAGCAGGAGACCAAGGAAAGUGCUCCACAGCCCUCCUAGAGGGCCUCUGUCAUUGACCAGCUGGCCUGGCAACUCCUCCACGCCUGCCCAUGCCACACCUUUCUGGACGGUUCUGGGUCUGCUGUGCUGUGGGACACUCUGUCCAGCCACUUGGGAAACGGAAACUUCAGCACUGGCAUUUCUAUCCCAGAGAACUAGGCAGCACACUGGGAAGCAGCCAGGGGAAGGGACUCCAGCCUCCCAGGAGUUAAAGACGCCUCUCCCCAGCUGUCCUCCCCUUGGUGCUCCUUUUCCUCCCUCCUUCUGCUCACAGCAGGCAGGGCCUGGAACCAGGAGCCAUGCUGCUGUGCUGUUGCCAGGGGAGCUGGGAGGCAGAUCGGAGCUAUGCAGGGAAAAGGCUCAGCCUGUCAAAGUGUCUGAGAUGAACCACCGCCAUCCUGUGCAGCUGGGCUCAGAUGUGUCUCGGCUCUUGUUCUGUGUCUGAGAACGGUGAAGCCCAGUGAGGUUCAAGGGCACACUCGCUAUUCAUUAGUCAGGGGUUCUUGACGUCCUGUCUCUCCCAGGCAUGGGUUCCCCCCUUCCUCUUUCCCUCCCUCCUGUGACACAUUCCUGGGUGCCUGUGGUGAGGACUGCACACCCCCUCCUGCACGGCCCCCUCCAAACAAACCCUGAAUCAACUCCUGUUAAGGAGACCAGGCGGGACAGAGACAAUGGCUUCAAGAAGCCAUUCAGGCGGGGCCCCAGCCACAUUCGCCUUCCCUCCACUCCCAGUGACCCUACAGAUCCGACUCUGCUGUGACUCCGGGCACCCUUGGGCCCCCAGCUUGCACAAGCCCAGAUAGGAGCAGGCCACUAGGUGCUGCCCUACACAACAGGGCUAGCCAAGUGCUAUUCUCAGUGGGCCCCUCAGUGGGCGCCUCUAUCCCACUGGCUAGAUAUUUUUGUGCAGUUGUUUGGGGAAUAGAAACUGUACAAUAUUUUCUGAAAUGUUCCAAUGUCAAGAGUUGCAUUUACUUGGAUACUAAUUUUAUGACUAGGAAUUUUCUCCAGAUACAGUGGGAAGGUUUGCUAAGAAGCAUGGACAAGGAAGUACGGUUCAACUAAUGCAUCAUUUACUCCUGUGGAAUGCUUCAGAGCUGUAAAAGUGUGGCAGAUCUCUGCACGCAGGUGAUAUCCAAGGCCGACUGAUAAACUUGAGUGGAUAUAAUCUAUUCAGAUAAAUAAUAAAUAAAUAAUAAUAAAUUACAGAACAAUCAAGUAUGUUCUUGUUUGUAUACAUUUAAAAGUCAGUCAUGGAGUCUGAGUUAUGUGAAGCUUGGUAAUAAGAUACAUA